AGUGAACGCUGGCGGUAGGCCUAACACAUGCAAGUCGAACGGCAGCACAGUAAGAGCUUGCUCUUACGGGUGGCGAGUGGCGGACGGGUGAGGAAUACAUCGGAAUCUACUUUUUCGCGGGGGAUAACGUAGGGAAACUUACGCUAAUACCGCAUACGACCUACGGGUGAAAGCAGGGGAUCUUCGGACCUUGCGCGAUUGAAUGAGCCGAUGUCGGAUUAGCUAGUUGGCGGGGUAAAGGCCCACCAAGGCGACGAUCCGUAGCUGGUCUGAGAGGAUGAUCAGCCACACUGGAACUGAGACACGGUCUAGACUCCUACGGGAGGCAGCAGUGGGGAAUAUUGGACAAUGGGCGCAAGCCUGAUCCAGCCAUACCGCGUGGGUGAAGAAGGCCUUCGGGUUGUAAAGCCCUUUUGUUGGGAAAGAAAAGCAGCAGGUUAAUACCCCGCUGUUCUGACGGUACCCAAAGGAUAAGCACCGGCUAACUUCGUG
rnacentral:rRNA from 1 species